CCUACGGGGGGCAGCAGUGAGGAAUAUUGGUCAAUGGCCGAGACGCUGAACCAGCCACGUCGCGUGAGGGAAGACGGCCCUACGGGUUGUAAACCUCUUUUGUCGGGGAGCAAAGCGAGUCACGUGUGACUCAUUGAGAGUACCCGAAGAAAAAGCAUCGGCUAACUCCGUGCCAGCAGCCGCGGUAAUACGGAGGAUGCGAGCGUUAUCCGGAUUUAUUGGGUUUAAAGGGUGCGCAGGCGGAGGUGCAAGUCAGCGGUCAAAUUGCGGGGCUCAACCCCGUACUGCCGUUGAAACUGCAUGCCUUGAGUGCGCGAGAGGUAUGCGGAAUGCGUGGUGUAGCGGUGAAAUGCAUAGAUAUCACGCAGAACUCCGAUUGCGAAGGCAGAAUACCGGCGCGCAACUGACGCUCAUGCACGAAAGCGUGGGUAUCGAACAGGAUUAGAUACCCGAGUAGUC
rnacentral:rRNA from 1 species